rnacentral:rRNA from 1 species
UACGUGAGGGGCGAACGUUGUUCGGUGUCACUGGGCUUAAAGGGUGCGUAGGUGGCCAACUAAGUCAGACGUGAAAUCCCUCAGCUUAACUGGGGAACUGCGUCUGAUACUGGAUGGCUUGAGUUUGGGAGAGGGAUGCGGAAUUCCAGGUGUAGCGGUGAAAUGCGUAGAUAUCUGGAGGAACACCGGUGGCGAAGGCGGCAUCCUGGACCAACACUGACACUGAUGAGCGAAAGCCAGGGGAGCAAACGGG